rnacentral:lncRNA from 1 species
UCAGUAAUCUCCCUGUUACAAGAAACGAUGUCGAAUUAUUACUUCAUAAUUGCGGUGAUCAUAGUGGUCAAAAUCCUCUUCUGGACAAUGUUCCUGUGUUAUCGGGCUUCAAGAAGACCGGCGUUAUCCGUCCAGUCGUUUACUCCGGAUGGACAAGUUUCUCACAAUGAUCGCAUAGUGAUUGUGCAGAGCGAGUACCUCCCGGACAGGUCUGGCCCGGGGAUGCCUGUCCAGAAUGACCGGGGUGCGGGGAACACGCCACCCACCUAUGAGCAAGCCGUCAAAGGCCCGGCAGUGAGGCCAACCUCGAUGCCGGUGUAGUCCAGCAGGCCAUCACGAUGCGGAAUUCUCAACUGCUCCGAAACCAUGACAGCAUAAUAAACAUAAUAUAAAUCCUUGCGGCAUACAAAUAGUUUGGGAUUCCAGUAUGUUUAUUUGAAAGAAAGAAAUUGCAGUAAAUGCUUCGCAGUAAAUAUUUUUCAUGCCGUAAAUAAUACUUAAAUAUAUCAGAGACUUUGAUUUUAUUUAACAUAGUGUAGUCGUUUUUGUUUGUUUUUUUGUCUUUUGUCUUCUUUUUUUAUGGGGUGGUCGGGUAGCCUAGUGGUUAAAGCGUUCGCUCGUCACGCCGAAAACCCGGGUUCGAUUCCCGACAUGAGUACAAUGUGUGAAGCCCCUUUCUGGUGCCGUGAUAUUGCUAAAAGCGGCGUCUCACUCACUCACUCACUCACUCACUCACUCACUCACUCACUCACUCAGUCACUCACUCACUCACUCACUUUUUUUUAUUUGGGAUGUGGGUGGGUAAGUUACAUUUCGACAUCAAGCUCACUAUGUAGUAUGCAUCUCAUGUUCAGCAUCAAAUACAGUACAUAAGAAACAAGAACUGGUCAACUCAGUUUUGUUGAUAUUAUUCAUAACAAAACGUAUACUUUCUGAAUUGUGUAUACUUUAAAUCUGUGUUCAUAAUAUAUGCCUUUAUGCUGAUAUUCUUCUCACCAAACCUAACAAUAAACAUUACGCUUUGUGUAGCAUGGGCCAUUGGCCUUCCUGUACCGUACAAAGUAUCAUGUCGUAAACAAGCUCAAGAAAUAUAGGGACUUAACCCUGUAACCAUGCACGUACAUAUAUGCAUUGAUUUGAACAUAGGGCAUUGUCUAAUUACGACCGGAAAAAGUGGCUCACUAAUAUGUCUUUCUCCCCAGAAACAUUGUUGAAUUAUAAUAGCUAGAUAGAUAGAUCUACAUAUAGAUAGUAAUUAACAUAUUCUAAGAUUUUUUUCACUCAGCUAUAUUCCAGCUAUAUGACGGCGAUCUGUAAAUAAUCGAGUCUGGACAAGACAACCCAGUGAUUAACAUCAUGAGCAUCGAUCCACGCAAUUGGGAUCGUUGACAUGCAUCAACCAAGUCAGCGAGCCUGGCCACCUGAUCCCGUUAGUCGCUUCUUACGACAAGCAUAGUCGCAAUAAAACUGUUCAUCUGUUGUGUACGUCGCCUGCUCAGAUGCAUUUAUGUGUUUUUUUAUCUCGCUUAUAAUACUGUAAUAAAUACGCUUAUGAUACACGUUGAUAGCGAACUUAUCGUGAAGUCCAUAUUUGACAGUGUAAGUGUUUGCAACCUCAUUAAAAUAAGAUGGGAGUUCCAGCUACCGCUAGACAAAGGGUAGCUUUUCAUUUGAUAUUUUCAACCAUUUCCAACCAAAAUCUAUUAAAUGAGAUUGAAGUGUACCUUGUUUUGUAUUUACAUCAGGUGAAUAAUGUUUACUUUUUGUCAAAUUCUCUUUUGUUUGGAUACAUGUGCUAUUAGAAGCUUUCUAGUAAAUAUUUAUUUUUCAAUGA